rnacentral:rRNA from 1 species
CGGACGGGUGAGUAAUGUCUGGGAAACUGCCCGAUGGAGGGGGAUAACUACUGGAAACGGUAGCUAAUACCGCAUAACGUCGCAAGACCAAAGAGGGGGACCUUAGGGCCUCUUGCCAUCGGAUGUGCCCAGAUGGGAUUAGCUAGUAGGUGGGUAAGUGGCUCACCUAGGCGACGAUCCCUAGCUGGUCUGAGAGGAUGACCAGCCACACUGGAACUGAGACACGGUCCAG